CGAAAAAGGCGAAGGAGGAGCCUGCAGAGGCGCCCGCGGGGAGAGGCCGUGGACGGGGCCAGAAACGAAAAGCGGAAGAGGCCGCACCCGUUGGGCGGGGGAGAGGAGGGAAGAAAAAGAAGUGAUAGAGUGAUUUAUAUUCAUAUCUCUCGAAUAUGAAAGAUUGAUUUAAUAGUUUGUGUUAUUUGAUAUUUUUGUUUAGCAGUGUGCAAAUUUAGAUAACUUUUUUUAGCAUCAUACUUGCACUUUUGGUGUAUGUAAUUUUUAUACAUGACCAUAAAACUUAUAACAUAUUUGUACAUAUAUAGAUUAUGUACAUGUAGAGCAUUCGUAUUUUGUUUAUCAAAUGAACUGGAUUUUUAAAUAGAUUGAAGACAUGUUUAAUGUUUUACAAUUAGUGUAUGAAUAAAAAUGUUAAAAACCAU
rnacentral:misc_RNA from 1 species